rnacentral:misc_RNA from 1 species
GAUGAAGAACGCAGCGAAAUGCGAUAGGUAGUGUGAAUUGCAGAUGUAACGUGAAUCAUCGAAUCUUUGAACGCAAAUUGCACUCUCUGGUAUUCCGGGGAGUAUGCCUGUUUGAGGGUCGUCAAAAUAAACAUCGAUUUUAUUGCUUAUUUUUUUAUAUAAAAAGUAAAUAUUAUCGGAUUUGAGCUUUUCUUUUAUAUAUAAUUUUUGUAUAAAGUAGCUUAAAAUUUUUUUUUGGUAUCAAAAAGCGUAUUUUAUAUAGUCAAUUCUGAUUAAAAAACGCUUGAAUUUUUGUAUACCACCAUCAUGUAAUACGUUUGACUUGUCAUUUCUAAGUUCAUUCGUAUACGAAGUUUUUUUCAAUUUUAGACCUCAAAUCAGGUAAGAAUACCCGCUGAACUUAAGCAUAUCAAUAAGCGGAGGA